rnacentral:rRNA from 1 species
CAGUCGUACCGAUGAGCAUUCAGCCUUUUGGGUGCGAUUAUGUGGUACGUGGGAAGAUUUUACGGUUGCAUAUUCGUGCCUUUGGGGUGUAUUUGCUCGUAUGGUAGGUUAACAUCAAUUUCGGUUAUCAUAAAAUGGCGGGAGGAAUGUAGCUUUUCCGGAAGUGUUAUAGCCUCUGGUAGAUGUGAUAACUGGGAUUGAGGAUUGCAACGAACCCUCUGGGCUACUCGCCUGGCCUCUGGGUCGUCGCUUUGGGGCUGAAAGCGUGCUUAAGUAUCAAAGUAGGUGGUCAAAGGGUUAAACGGGAUAAAUCCCUUAAGGAUGUUG